rnacentral:rRNA from 1 species
AUUGAACGCUGGCGGCAUGCCUUACACAUGCAAGUCGAACGGUAACAGGUUAAGCUGACGAGUGGCGAACGGGUGAGUAAUGUAUCGGAACGUGCCCAGUCGUGGGGGAUAACUGCUCGAAAGAGCAGCUAAUACCGCAUACGACCUGAGGGUGAAAGCGGGGGAUCGCAAGACCUCGCGCGAUUGGAGCGGCCGAUAUCAGAUUAGGUAGUUGGUGAGGUAAAGGCUCACCAAGCCGACGAUCUGUAGCUGGUCUGAGAGGACGACCAGCCACACUGGGAGUGAGACACGCCCAAGACUCCUGAGGGAGGCGCCAGUGGGGAAUUUGGGACAAUGGGCGCAAGCUUGAUCCAGCGAGGCGGCGUGCGGGAAGAAGGCCUCCGGGUUGUAAACCGGUUUUGUCAGGGAAGAAAAGGUUUUGGCUAAUACCUGGGACUCAUGACGGUACCGGAAAAAUAAGCACCGGCUAACUACGUG